rnacentral:lncRNA from 1 species
GAUGGAUUCCUCGGGAUGGAUUCCUUGGGAUGGAUUCCUUGGGAUGGAUUGUCAGGAUUCCUCGGGAUAGAUUCCAUGGGAUGGAUCCCUCAGGAUGGAUUUCUCAGGAUGGAUUCCUUGGGAUUCCUCAAGAUGGAUUCCUCAGGAUGGAUUGUCAGGAUUCCUCGGGAUGGAUUCCUCAGGAUGGAUUCCAUGGGAUGAAUUCCUUCAGGUGGAUUCCUUAGGACGAAUUCCUUGGGAUGGAUUCCUCGGGAAGGAUUAUCAGGAUUCCUUGGGAUGGAUUCCUCUGGAUUCCUCGGGGCGGAUUCCUUGGGAUUCCUCAGGAUGGAUUCCUUGGGAUGGAUUGUCAGGAUUCCUUGGGAUGGAUUCCUUGGGAUGGAUUCCUUGGGAUUCCUUGGGAUGGAUUCCUCAGGAUGGAUUCCUCGGGAAGGACUAUCAGGAUUCCUCAGGAUGGAUUCCUCGGGAUGGAUU